rnacentral:tRNA from 1 species
UGGCUCAGUGGUAGAGCACUUGCCCAGCGUGCAUGAGGCCCUGGGUUCAAGCCCCAG